UGAGGAAUAUUGGUCAAUGGACGCAAGUCUGAACCAGCCAAGUAGCGUGCAGGAUGACGGCCCUAUGGGUUGUAAACUGCUUUUAUAUGGGGAUAAAGUGGGGAACGUGUUCCCUUUUGCAGGUACCAUAUGAAUAAGGACCGGCUAAUUCCGUGCCAGCAGCCGCGGUAAUACGGAAGGUUCGGGCGUUAUCCGGCUUUAUUGGGUUUAAAGGGAGCGUAGGCCGUUUGGUAAGCGUGUUGUGAAAUGUAGGAGCUCAACUUCUAGAUUGCAGCGCGAACUGUCAGACUUGAGUGCGCACAACGUAGGCGGAAUUCAUGGUGUAGCGGUGAAAUGCUUAGAUAUCAUGAAGAACUCCGAUUGCGAAGGCAGCUUACGGGAGCGCAACUGACGCAGAAGCUCGAAGGUGCGAGUAUCUAACAGU
rnacentral:rRNA from 1 species